CACGUAGGGGGCAAGCGUUGUCCGGAUUUAUUGGGCGUAAAGAGCUCGUAGGCGGUUCGGUAAGUUAGGUGUGAAACCUCCAGGCUCAACCUGGAGACGCCACCCGAUACUGCUGUGACUAGAGUCCGGUAGGGGAGCGUGGAAUUCCUGGUGUAGCGGUGAAAUGCGCAGAUAUCAGGAGGAACACCAGCGGCGAAGGCGGCGCUCUGGGCCGGAACUGACGCUGAGGAGCGAAAGCGUGGGUAGCAAACAGG
rnacentral:rRNA from 1 species